UUAUUACAACUCAAUCACAGCGAAACUUGAUGGGUGUCAUUCGGCUUUACUAAACCAUUGAACUAGUGAAUCAUUUCGGCCAUAUGACUUCCUAUCAAACAUCUUUUAAGUUGUUCUUCACAACUAUUCUGUCCAUCCUGGGAGAGGGAUCCUCCUCUGCCUUUUACUCCCCGUUGAAAGAUUUUUUUCAUUUGGGUUUUUUUUUUUUUUGUGUGCUGUGGUAAAGGUUUUGGGACAGAGGAUGUCACUUGUGCUGACCGCAAAGCCAUCUAUGGCAAAUUUGUUAUUUUGGGCUACACCAAAUGAAAUGAAUGGAAUACAGCCGUAUCAAAUCCACGUAGCGCCUCCAAAGGAUGUCACGUUUACAGCGCAGAAGCAGUGGUUAUUUAUUCCAUGGUUGAUAAUGGAAACAAAUGGAUCAGCUGAUUCAGCGAGUGUCUCAGAUACUCCUGUUGGACAGACGUCUGUAACGGAUCGAAUGGGCAAAUCAACAAGUGUUACAGGACCUAAGCAGGAAAAUGGACAGAGAAGUGUUGUUCAUGUGCACACUAUAGCUAAGAGUGUAGCUAACGGUCAUUUAAAGUGGACCUGGAACUGGUGCCCUGGACGUGGGCGAGCAGUGCACACUCAUUACCCUCCCGGCACCCUCCUCUUGACGUCUGUCCCUGCUCUGUGUCCGCGUCCUGCCCGCAUGUGGCAGGAUUCCCAGGCCUCCCUGGUGCUUGGGCUCCCGCGCCGUCACCCUGUGACCCGCUUUCGUCCCCGCUCGGAGGAACGUGUGUCCGUCUUGCUGCGUGGGACAGGGACACACACUCAGACAGAGUGGAGCUGUGUGUUCAGCUGACAGGUGUGUAAAAACGAUGUUUAAUGGUGGUGGACUUCAGACCGUCAGUUAUCAGACAGGCCUGAAGGAGGCCCCUCCCCCCACCAACCUUAACUAAUCGCAUUAGGCUGCGACCGGAGACUCUCCUCCCCAAGAAGGAGGAUUUGGUUGGACAGCUUGAGGACACCUGUGUCUCUGUUGAGGGUCAAAGCAGGAAGUAGUGUGACAUACAUUGUUUGAGUGCAGAAAAAUGGGAGAGUGAGGGCGGUGUAGUGGAGACUAGGGUUCAUGUCCAGCAGCAGAAGUGUGGGCCACACGUCACAAGCAUCUGAAGCGUAAAGCAUGAGUCCUUCGCGCUGUGUUCACUGAUUCAGCAUAUUCACACUAACGUGUUGCAGCAUUGUGUUGUGGAGGAUGCUUGAGGUAUGGGCCUUCACUAAGGAAACAAAUGAGAUGAUGCAGUAUGCUAAGGAAUUAAUUCAUAUCAAUAUUUACAAAAAUAGACUGCUAUUUAUUCUUUUUUUACUUUUGGAGAUAUUGAUAAACUACAAGCGAACAUUAAACCAAAUCAAGUUCAAGAUUUCUAAAUGAUUCUUCUCCUACAGUGUUGAAUUUAGACCCUUCUUCCUCCAUCAUACCUGUUGCUCUCAGGAUCUCAGUGGUCCAAUAGGCGGCUUAACUGUUUCGCAUGAACAAAAUACGUAAUAAGAAAUAAUGAUUUGAUCAACAAUAAAAGAAUAAAUUAAAAAAAAUAAUGAUUUUUUAAUUACCUCCCCUGUACAUAACUAGAGUAAGCUAAAUAUUUUCCGAGGGUCAUACAGCUUUAGAAAACUUUAAUCUUGAGAAAAUGUCACCACAGCAGUUUUUUAAAAUCUCUUUUGUAUUUGAUACAAUUAACCUUCUGCCGGUUAUUCCUUGAUUUUAACCAGAAGGCGGAUUUCAAUCGAAAAAUGUAUAACAAAACCCUGUCAUAAAAGCUUAAUUGUUUUAAUUAAUGAAUGAGGAAAUUAAUGAAAUGAAGUUAGAUCUUAAAUCAGUUUCUUCCUGUUUGAACAUGUGCAACAUGCUUCGACCUGUGCCCCCCUAAUAUGACAUUAGAGUGAAUGCUCCAUCAUCACAGGGAACACGACCACAUGAAUAAUGAAAUGUCAAAUGUAAUGUAACGGCGUAUGCAUCACACAGAAGUGUAAAGUGAAGCAUACCCCCCCCCCCAAUAAAUAAAUGAUUUGUGUCAAGAAUCAGCUGAAUGCAGCGACCUUCAAGUGACCAGCGAGCAAAGGUUACGGCUGAAGACGCAUCGACUGGAGUUGUUAAAUUACCGCUCAGCAAAUCCCUUUAAUUUGUUUUAGCCAUCCAGAUGGAUAAUCCCCUGUAGCCAGAGAUUAGAGGGAUUACCACGGAAUCUCUGUGUGUGAGGAUUAGCCCAACAUCUAAUUCCACACAUUCGUCUGCUGUACUUCACUUUCUGGGUUUCCUUUUCUACUUUGCGGACUAACAAGGUGAUUACAGGCACACAAACACAUUCACAGGAGGACAUAAACACAGAGGAGGAGCAUUUAUUUAUUCAAGUUUAUGGUCGGGUUUUGGAUCAGGAAGAGCAAUGCAUGAUGAUGUCAUAGUAUUUCCUGAAAAGAACAAUGUAACUUGAUACUUAUGGAUUAUUUUUUUUGUACAGUUAUUUAAUUUAGGCAAGCAAUUUAGUUGCAUGACAUGUUUGAAACAUCAAAUUCAUGUUUAAAUGGAACUUUUUUUUAGGGGAAUUACUAUUUUAUAUAAUUAGUAACAAAU
ensembl:lncRNA